CUGGUUGAUUCUGCCAGUGGUCAUAUGCUCGUCUCAAAGASUAAGCCAUGCAUGUGUAAGUUCCAUAUGCGUUAUACGAUGAAACUGCGAAGCGCUCAGUAAAUCAGUUAUAGUCUAUUCGAUUAUAAAGCCAUGGAUAACUGUGGUAAAUCUAGAGCUAAUACAUAGAAAACCCUUCGGGGUGCAUUGAUUAGCAACCAAAAAUUUUGGUGAAUCUAGAUCACUGUGCAUAUCGUAGGCGGAAGCCUGGCGAUAGUUCGAUCGAAUUUCUGCUCUAUUAACUAGUUGGUGAGAUAGUGGCUCACCAAGGUAGUAAUGGAUAACGGGGAAUUAGGGUUCGAUUCCGGAGAGGGAGCCUGAGAAACGGCUACCACAUCUAAGGAAGGCAGCAGGCGCGCAAAUUACCCAAUCCAGACAUUGGGAGGUAGUGACGAGAAAUACCGGAGCAGUUCCAAUGGGAUUGCUAUCGGAAUAAGCGUAAUCUAUAACCUUCGUUGAGUAUUUAUUGGAGGGCAAGUCUGGUGCCAGCAGCCGCGGUAAUUCCAGCUNCCAAUAGUGUAUAUUCAAAGUUGCUGCAGUUAAAAAGCUCGUAGUUGGAUUACAAAGAGUUGAAGCUAUUGUGGUAUAUUUCUACAUAGAUUCGGCUCUUUUUAUUGCAGAGGCUAUUUAGGGAAUUAAUUUUCUUUAGAUAUCACCUCGCAAAGUGUGCCUUGAAUAAAACAGAGUGCUCAAAGCAAGCGUACGCUAGAAUGUAAUAGCAUGGUACGAAUAUGUUGACUUGAUCAGCUGUUGGUUGCUGAACAGGUCUAGAUUAAAAGGAACACUUGAGGGCGUUAGUACUUGGUGGCGAGAGGUGAAAUUCAUAGACCCACCAAAGACUCACUAAUGCGAAAGCAUUCGCCAAGACUGUUUUCAUUAAUCAAGAACGAAAGUUGGAGGUUCGAAGACGAUCAGAUACCGUCGUAGUUCCAUACAGUAAACUAUGCUACCAAGAAAUUAGCAUGUAAUGAUACAUGUUAGUCUCACCGGGAAACCAUAAGGUUUUGAGCUUUGGGGAGAGUACUGUCGCAAGGCAAAAAUUUAAAGAAAUUGACGGAAGGGCACCACCAGGAGUGGAGCCUGCGGCUUAAUUUGACUCAACACGGGGCAACUCACCAGGUCCGGACAUUGAAAGGAUUGACAAACUGACAGAUUUUUCAUGAUAUAAUGAUUGGUGGUGCAUGGCCGUUCUUAGUUGGUGGAGUGAUCUGUCAGGUUAAUUCCGGUAACGAGCGAGACCACAAUCUUUACUUGAUUACAGACCAAUUGUAGGUUCUGAUCGUAAAGAGACUACCGGUUCAACCCGGGGGAAGUGUGGCAAUAACAGGUCUGUGAUGCCCUUCGAUGUUCUGGGCUGCACGCGCGCUACAAUGGCAGCAACAGAAAGUUCCUGAUUUGAGAAAAUCGGGAAAUCUCUAAUUGCUGUCGUGAUUGGGAUUGAGCCUUGUAAUUAUUGCUCAUGAAAGUGGAAUUCCUCGUAAGCGCGUGUCAUCAACAUGCGUUGAAUACGUCUCUGCCCUUUGUACACACCGCCCGUCGCUAGUACAUCGG
rnacentral:rRNA from 1 species